rnacentral:rRNA from 1 species
AGGGCGUAUAGUCGGCAGUGGCAGACGCGAAACCAAGUGAUCUACCCUUGGCCAGGUUGAAGGCUGGGUAACACCAGCUGGAGGACCGCACCAAUAAGCGUUGAAAAGCUUCUGGAUGAGCUGAGGGUAGGGGUGAAAGGCUAAUCAAACUUGGAGAUAGCUCGUACUCCCCGAAAUGCAUUUAGGUGCAGCCUUGCGGGUUACUGAUGUGAGGUAGAGCGACUGAUAAGAUGCGAGGGCUUCACCGCCUAUCAAGUCUUGACAAACUCCGAAUGCGCAUCAGUUCUACCGCAGGAGUGAGGGCAUGGGUGCUAAGGUCCGUGCCCGAGAGGAGAAGAAUCCGGACCACCUGCUAAGGUCCCGAAAUGACAGCUAAGUUAAACUAACGAAGUCUGACUGCUAAGACAGCUAGGAUGUUGGCUUGGAAGCAGCCAUUCAUUUAAAGAGUGCGUAACAGCUCACUAGUCGAGGAGUCGGGCGUGGAUAAUAAUCGGGUAUCAAGUUGUCUACCGAAGCAGUGGGAUCAUUAAUAUGAUCGGUAGGGGAGCAUUCCAGUCAGCGUCGAAGGCGUACCGUGAGGUAUUCUGGAGCGUCUGGAAAAGCAAAUGUAGGUAUAAGUAACGAUAAAGGGGGCGGGAAACCCCCUCGCCGAAAGACUAAGGUUUCCUGAUCAACGCUAAUCGGAUCAGGGUCAGUCGGGUCCUAAGGCUCAGCCGAACGGCGAUGCCGAUGGCAGAAACGGUUAAUAUUCCGUUACUACCUUCAGGAGUGACGUGGAGACGCAGUAGUGACAGUGCCGCCAUCUGACGGAAUAGAUGGUUGAAGGGUGUAGGAGUCGAUCAUGGCAGGCAAAUCCACCAUGAGAUCCGAACCUGAUAGUAUGCCGCGUCCUUCGGGACAAGGCAAUAGUGCGCGUAAGCAUGCUGCCGAGAAAAUCCGCUAAACUUAAUCCUGCAGGUACCCGUACCGCAAACGGACACACGUAGUCGGGAUGAAUAUUCUAAGGCGCUUGAGUGAUUCACGGUUAAGGAACUAGGCAAACUGACCCUGUAACUUCGGGAUAAAGGGUCCCUACCCUUUUAUGGGAGGGCGCAGAGAAUCGGUCCAGGCAACUGUUUAACAAAAACACAGGGCUGUGCCAAAUCGAAAGAUCCAGUAUACAGCCUGACACCUGCCCGGUGCUGGAAGGUUAAGAGGAGAUGUCAUCGAUAAGAGAAGCGUUGAAUUGAAGCCCCAGUAAACGGCGGCCGUAACUAUAACGGUCCUAAGGUAGCGAAAUUCCUUGUCGGGUAAGUUCCGACCUGCACGAAUGGUGUAAUGAUCUGGACGCUGUCUCAACCGUGAGCUCAGUGAAAUUGUAGUAUCGGUGAAGAUGCCGAUUACCCGCGAUGGGACGAAAAGACCCCGUGAACCUUUACUAUAGCUUAUCAUUGAAUCUGGGCACGUGAUGUGUAGGAUAGGUCGGAGGCUUUGAAGCAGGUACGCCAGUAUUUGUGGAGCCGCUGUUGAAAUACGACCCUUUAUUUGUUUGGAUUCUAACCCGUGG